CACGUAGGCGGCAAGGUAAGUCAAAGGUGAAAGCCCUCGGCUCAACCGAGGAACUGCCUUUGAAACUGCUUUGCUUGAGUCCGGGAGGGGGGAGCGGAAUUCCCAGUGUAGCGGUGAAAUGCGUAGAUACUGGGAGGAACACCGGUGGCGAAGGCGGCUCCCUGGACCGGUACUGACGCUGAGGUGCGAAAGCGUGGGUAGCAAACA
rnacentral:rRNA from 1 species